GGGGAGCAAUCCGGACUGGACUAAGUUACUCGAAUUAGGACUUAUUCUAUGCAUCUGCUCUCCCACAAUAUGGCGCUGGGAGAGAAGUAAACAGCUUCCGCACAGCUGCCUCCAGUUCAACCAAUUAACUGUAGGACUUGCUCCUGAUUGGAGAGCAGCGUACUCAGCCGAGUUGGGAUUGGCGGAGGAGGACUAUAAAGGAGGAGAGAGACGGCAUGCACCGGGAACAUCUAUGGGGAACAUCUAAGGGAACCCGUGCAGCCCCCGAGAAGAGCCGGCCGGCGGUGUGCCGCUCCCCUGCGGAAGUGGGGAAUGCGGCCAGGGGGAACUGCCCUUCCACGGAGGUGGAAGGGAUAGUGGCCAACCCGGGAAGAACCAGCAGCAAACCCGGGGAGGGCCGAGCAGACUGAAAGAACAGCGCAGGGUCCUGUGUCGUUCCUCCACGAAGAGGGGGAGCGACAUAAUGGUGCCGUGACUCGGAUAGGAAACCUGACUCGGAUAGGAAACCUAGCUCGGAUAGGAAACCUAGGACGGAUAGAAAACUUAGGAGGGAAGAAACCGGGAAGAAGUGGGAAAUUACCGGAGAGAGAGACUAGCAAACAGCCUAGGGAAAAGCCGGACGAAAGAGGUGCCGGAGGAAGCUGUUGAAAGCCUAGGCAUAGAUUCAGAUACGGACUACAAGGGGAAGCUGGGAGAAAUCUCUAAGGUUGAAAGCGAAAGUGAAAGCUUUCAUAGACUCGGAUGCGGACUAUGGCGGGGAAGCUAGGAGAUUGAAAGCGAAAGUGAAACCUGGAGGAGGCUUGGACUCGGAUACGGACUGUGGGAAAGAAGUUAGGAUUUAAAGUGAAAGCAAGAAGAAACUUAGACUCAGAUACGGACUGCAGGUUGAAAGUGAAAGUGAAACCUAGAAGAAACUUAGACUCGGAUACGGACUGUGGGGAGAAGCCAGGAGAAAUGAGAGGAAUAUUGUUGGAAGAAAACUUAAGGAAACAACCGGGUAGAGAAAAAUGUUAGGGAGGAUGAAGCCGCGAGUGCAGGCUGAGGCGGAGAUAUAAGCCACCUUGGAAUUCUUCAAGUCACCCCGGGGAGCAAGAGGCGAAGAUCUGGAACCAGAGGCAGAGACGUGGGCCGCCAGGAUUCACCAGGAACUUGCCUUGAAUUCUGAGAGGGGGAAUAUGAGCCACACUGGUAUCAAGAAGCUCAAGGAAAUGAACAUGGCCGAGGGUAGAUUUCAAAUAUGUAGGGAUUAUAAUGGCCCAUCCUAGACAUGUGGGUGGUGGAACAGCAUCUGCAUUGGUGCCCCCGGUUUGCUUUGAGUAAGGAGACAGCUCACGGUGCCGCCUCAUGAGCCGGAGGCCGCGUGAAAGAAGUGGACAGCCACUCUUGCCUUGAGUGUCCAUAAAUAUUAACCAUCUUGGUGCAGAUUCUCCCUGAAAAUGAUCACCGAGGUUCCCCUCAAACAGUUCUUGACAGGAGCAUGCAGAGAAGGCUGGCAGCUCCGAGUGUUCCCAGACAGCUCAUGGUUUGUUGUCGCUAAAGGACAACCCUGAGAUGCCAAGGCUGGCUGCCUUUCCCAGCCCUGGGAUGCUGAGCCCGGACCAUUGAGACACCGUUGAUGUGAACAAACGAAGAACAAAUUAACCUGCUUUGGAAUGAAUGAUUGAAUUCUGCUCAGGCUCAGUUGCUUGAGUUUCCUGCAAACUCAGUGUAUUUUGGGGUUGACGGUGCAUUGCUCUGCUACUCCGCUGGUCUCUGAUGGCCAUUGUCAAGGAGGUGAGGUGCAAGUCUUCACUUCAGGCUCCAGGAGUAAUGAGGAUGCAUUUGGUGAACUCAGACCUCAGAACCUGAGACCAGCUCAGCCCUAACCAGUCUGUCUAGGCAGUCAGCAGCCACAGGGAGACCUGGUUGGAGGUACUGCGGGCAGCCAGGGAGGUCAUCCCUUCGUAGGAUGUGGCAGGAGUCCAGCAUCUUCCCCUCCUGUGGUCCUGUCUGCAUAUGGCUGCACAUAUAGAGAGAUUAUAAGGACAGAGGUAGUAGAUUUGGGCACAGAUACAGACCCCUUUCCCACAUAAAUACAUUUCUGUGAAGAAGUGAAUUAAUGGGCCAGCACCGUGGCUCACUAGGCUAAUCCUCCGCCUAGCGGCGCCGGCACACCAGGUUCUAGUCCCGGUCGGGGUGCCAGAUUCUGUCCUGGUUGCCCCUCUUCCAGGCCAGCUCUCUGCUGUGGCCCGGGAAGGCAGUGGAGGAUGCCCAAGUGCUUGGGUCCUGCACCCCAUGGGAGACCAGGAGAAGCACCUGGCUCCUGGCUUCGGAUCAGCGUGGUGUGCCAGCCGCGGUGGCCAUUGGAGGGUGAACCAACGGCAAAGGAAGACCUUUCUGUCUGUCUCUCUCUCUCUCACUGUCCACUCUGCCUGUUUAAAAAAAAAGUGAAUUAUUUUUAAAUGUGUGUUUUUUAGAGUGCAUCCUUUAAAGUACUUUCAUAUUUUGCCUGGAUUGCUUUUGGAAGGAAGAAUUUUUAAGUGUAAGAUGUGGUUUCUGGCUACCUUAAAAUUAAAAAAAAAUUGUGAAACAAAAGGGUGGGGAAAGAGAGAGUGAGAAGGGGGGGGGAGAGAGAGAGAGAGAGAGAGAGAGAGAGAAAGCAAGCAAGUGCUCUUCUCUGUUGGUUCACUCCCCAAAUGUCUACAGAAGCUGGGACUGGGCUGGGCCAAAGCCAGGAGCCAGGAACUAACUUCAUUUGAGUGGUAAGAACUCAAUGACUUGAGCCAUCACUGGUGGCCUCCCAGGGUCCACAUUAACAGGAGGCUAAGACUUUAACCUGGGCACUCCAAUGUGGGACGUGGGCAGCUCAGCUGCUAGGCCAGAUGCCCAUCCCAAUUCCUGUCCUGUUAAGGCAGAGUACUCCAGAGUCAAUUUAGCCUUAAAUAUCUUUUUUU